GACUAUGUGACUGAGGAAAUGACGAGUCUGCACUGGUACUCCUCACCGGGAAUAAAGAAAUAUGCAGAUGAACUAAAACACCUGCUGCAUGGGGAAAAAGGGGGCAGGUUCCCAGAGUCACUGAUGAGUUACAGGUGUGAAUAAUUGCUCCAAUAAGCCAACAGCUUCUCUCUCAAAACCACAGGUAUUCUUAUCAUGUCUGAACCUUAUUUACAUACUGGCGCAACAAAUGUUAUGGUGAGUAAGGUGGAAAAAUGAGUUGCUCAACCGGUUUGUGAAAGAGGGAGGAGGCAAAAGUGAGACAGACAUAAGCUUGAGCUGCAAAUCAAAGGACAGUGUCAUUUCAUGGUUUGGCAGUUGGUUGUCAUCACGGGAUAAUUUGUGUGGCAAAAAACUUAAGUGGACUAUAUAUCAAAAACAAAGUAACCCAUACAGGAUCAAUGCAGUUUCAGCGGAUUUUGUCUAUUUUCUACAUCCUGGUGUCCAUGGCACUAAUGGUGGUUAUAUUUUAUCAAUAUAAAGUGACGAUAAUGCUAAACAAGAGGGUUGAAGACCUGCAAUCUGAGUCAAGGGCCCUUGAAAAUUCAUAUAUAAAUGAAGAGUUACUUAAAGGGACGUUGGAAAAGCUUGUAGUUAAGGGGACAGAAGUAGUAGGGGACCUGGAGGGUGCACUAACCAGUCUCAGUGAGACGAUGGCAAAGAAGAAGACAGAAACUGACACCUGUCAAGCAGAAAAGAAAACAAAGGGUGAGGAGCUGACCAGCAAGGAGAAGGAACAAACUGACACUGAAGCUACGAUAAAAACAGAAUCUGAUGCUUGGACCCAAGAGAUUAAUAUUCUGAAAGCACAACUGACGGAGUUCAGACCAAUCUGUAAUCAUGUGAAGAAAAACCCACUGGUUCUGAAACUAUGUGGCAACCAUCCUUCCUGAAGAAAUGAAAUCACAGCGACCGAAUGACCCCACUAUGGUUUGGAUAUUAUUGAUGUGUAACAAUAUUGGUGUUUGUUGUGAUGUAUACCUUUUUUAAAUAAAGAUGUUUAUAUAUUUACAAGUGAAGUAAAUACAAUUUGAAUAAUGGCUAUAAGCUAAAGAAAAUGGAAAGGGUUUCAAACACCUCACUGGAAAACAAAUCAGUGACAUCAACUUGUUACAGACAACAUUUUCUUUUUCUUUUUUUGUUGUUACAUUACAUUACAUUACAUUGCAUUUAGCAGAC